GGAAAGUUGGGUGAGUGGCUGAAACCACAGGUUUGCUCAACCUGCGAACGGGCAACCGUUCCGGGGGUUCGAAUCCCCCACUUUCCG
rnacentral:tRNA from 1 species